GAGCGCAGACGGUUACUUAAGCAGGAUGUGAAAUCCCCGGGCUCAACCUGGGAACUGCGUUCUGAGCUGGGUGACUAGAGUGUGUCAGAGGGAGGUAGAAUUCCACGUGUAGCAGUGAAAUGCGUAGAGAUGUGGAGGAAUACCGAUGGCGAAGGCAGCCUCCUGGGAUAACACUGACGUUCAUGCUCGAAAGCGUGGGUAGCAAACAGGAUUAGAUACCCUGGUAGUCCACGCCCUAAACGAUGUCAAUUAGCUGUUGGGCAACUUGAUUGCUUAGUAGCGUAGCUAACGCGUGAAAUUGACCGCCUGGGGAGUACGGUCGCAAGAUUAAAACUCAAAGGAAUUGACGGGGACCCGCACAAGCGGUGGAUGAUGUGGAUUAAUUCGAUGCAACGCGAAGAACCUUACCUGGUCUUGACAUGUACGGAAUCCUCCAGAGACGGAGGAGUGCCUUCGGGAACCGUAACACAGGUGCUGCAUGGCUGUCGUCAGCUCGUGUCGUGAG
rnacentral:rRNA from 1 species